rnacentral:rRNA from 1 species
UACGUAGGGUCCGAGCGUUGUCCGGAGUUACUGGGCGUGAAGCGCGCGCAGGCGGCGGUGCUGGCCCGGCGUGAAAGCCCCCGGCUCAACCGGGGAGGGUCGUCGGGGACCGCACCGCUUGAGGGCGGUAGGGGCUGGUGGAAUGCCUGGUGUAGUGGUGAAAUGCGUAGAGAUCAGGCGGAACACCCGUGGCGAAGGCGGCCAGCUGGGCCGUCCCUGACGCUGAGGCGCGAAGGCGUGGGGAGCGAACGGG